rnacentral:rRNA from 1 species
GACAGAGGUGCCGAGCGUUAGGCGGAAUCACUGGGCUUAAAGCGUGUGUAGGCGGGCGGGCAAGUACCUUGUGAAAUCCCACGGCUCAACCGUGGAACGGCUGGGUAUACUGCCUGUCUUGAGCCAACUAGGGGCGAGCGGAACAGACGGUGGAGCGGUGAAAUGCGUAGAUAUGCGGAGGAACACCGAUGGCGAAGGCAAUCCCCUGGGCCUGCACUGACGCUCAUGCACGAAAGCGUGGGGAGCAAACAGG